rfam:Triticum aestivum genome assembly, contig: Triticum_aestivum_CS42_TGACv1_scaffold_644528_T_3AS-0.178403_3DS-0.154497
UAUUUACUUCCUUCGUCCCAAAAUUCUUGUCUUAAAUUUAUCUAGAUAUGAACGUAUCUAAUACUACUAAAAUGUGACUUGAUGCAUCCGUAUUUAGACAAACCUUAGACAAGAAUUUUGAGACGGAUGGAGUACUAA